rnacentral:rRNA from 1 species
GUGAGGAAUAUUGGUCAAUGGGCGAGAGCCUGAACCAGCCAAGUCGCGUGAAGGAAGAAGGAUCUAUGGUUCGUAAACUUCUUUUGCAGGGGAAUAAAGUGCAGGACGUGUCCUGUUUUGUAUGUACCCUGAGAAUAAGGAUCGGCUAACUCCGUGCCAGCAGCCGCGGUAAUACGGAGGAUCCGAGCGUUAUCCGGAUUUAUUGGGUUUAAAGGGUGCGUAGGUGGUUUGAUAAGUCAGCGGUGAAAGUUUGCAGCUUAACUGUAAAAAUGCCGUUGAAGCUGUCGGACUUGAGUGUAAAUGAGGUAGGCGGAAUGCGUGGUGUAGCGGUGAAAUGCAUAGAUAUCACGCAGAACUCCGAUUGCGAAGGCAGCUUACUAAGCUACAACUGACACUGAAGCACGAAAGCGUGGGGAUCAAACAGGAUUAGAAACCCCUGUAGUCC